GACGAACGCUGGCGGCGCGCCUAACACAUGCAAGUCGAACGGAGCUUAGAGAGCUUGCUUUUUAAGCUUAGUGGCGAACGGGUGAGUAACGCGUGAGUAACCUGCCCUAGAGUGGGGGACAACAGUUGGAAACGACUGCUAAUACCGCAUAAGCCCACGGUACCGCAUGGUACUGAGGGAAAAGGAUUUAUUCGCUUUAGGAUGGACUCGCGUCCAAUUAGCUAGUUGGUGAGGUAACGGCCCACCAAGGCGACGAUUGGUAGCCGGACUGAGAGGUUGAACGGCCACAUUGGGACUGAGACACGGCCCAGACUCCUACGGGAGGCAGCAGUGGGGGAUAUUGCACAAUGGGGGAAACCCUGAUGCAGCGACGCCGCGUGGAGGAAGAAGUAUUCGGUAUGUAAAGCUCUAUCAGCAGGGAAGAAAAAAAUGACGGUACCUGACUAAGAAGCCCCGGCUAACUACGUG
rnacentral:rRNA from 1 species